GGCACAGAGUCCCCGGAAGGAGGCUUGCUUGUUCCUGGCCGGGCGGAGGCCCACGUGUCGCGCGACCUCCUCAGCUUUCCGCCUGGGGUCAGCUUCCGGUGGGGUUGCAUUAACCGUCCCCCCACCCCCCAGCCCGAGUCGUCCCAGCGGCCGGCUCUGUGCAGCCACGUCAAGACCCAUCGAUGUACUGUCCCCGUCGCUUCCCGUCUGUCCUCUCCCAGCGCUUCAGACCACGCGGUUGCCACGGCGGUGACAUGCCCCAUAAUAGUCCCUGCCUCCUCCAGUAAAUGAAGGAAGGGACAGAGGUUUCCCACGGAGCAGUCAGGUGAGGGAGGGGCGGGGAGAGAGCGCCACCAGCCUCACGACCCCCGUCAGGGGAGCGCAGACCCCUGCGGCCACCUCACCUCAGUCUGCACGCUGCUCCCACGUCCGCGUCCGCUGCUGCGAAACGUGGGCGGCACACAGUUGGCGGGACACCUGCUCAGGCCCGGCUGACCGCACGCUUCCUGUGGGACCCGGCUGGACUCUCCAUUUCAGGGGUGCUGCAGUGGGCUGAACAGCAUACCCCCAAAUUCAUGUCACCUGGAACCUCAGAAGAUGGUUUUAGUUGGAAAUAGGUCUUUGCAGAUGCAAUUAGUUAAGAUGGAAUGGGCCCUGAUUCAAUGACUGGGUCCUUGCAAGAAAAGACCCACAGACAGGACACACGGGGAGCGGGGCCACAUGGCAAUGGAGGCAGAGAGGGGAGGGACACCAAGGAUGGGCCACAACAGGGGCUGAGAGAGGCUGGGAGCAGAGAGAGCGUGUGCAAGCAGGGGAGAGGCAGAAAAUCACAAGGAGGCACCACGUUCGCCUCGGAGACGACGCGGGGCUCAACCCCACAACCCUGGGAUCAUGACCUCAGCUGAAACCAAGAGUCAGAGGCUCUGGACUCCUGGGUGACUCGGCUGAGGAACAGACUCUUGAUUUCCGCUCAGGUUAUGAUCUCGUGGUUCAUGAGAUCGAGCCCCAUUCGAGCUCAGCUCUGCUGAGUGUGGAGCCUGCUUAGGA